GGGUUGUGAGGUUAAGCGACUAAGCGUACACGGUGGAUGCCCUGGCAGUCAGAGGCGAUGAAGGACGUGCUAAUCUGCGAAAAGCGUCGGUAAGGUGAUAUGAACCGUUACAGCCGGCGAUGUCCGAAUGGGGAAACCCAGUGCAAUUCGUUGCACUAUCGUUAACUGAAUACAUAGGUUAACGAGGCGAACCGGGGGAACUGAAACAUCUAAGUACCCCGAGGAAAAGAAAUCAACCGAGAUUCCCCCAGUAGCGGCGAGCGAACGGGGAGCAG
rnacentral:rRNA from 1 species